rnacentral:rRNA from 1 species
AGCCAGACUCCUACGGGAGGCAGCAGUGAGGAAUAUUGGUCAAUGGGCGCGAGCCUGAACCAGCCAAGUCGCGUGAGGGAUGACGGCCCUACGGGUUGUAAACCUCUUUUGUCGGGGAGCAAAUUCCGCCACGUGUGGCGGAGUCGAGAGUACCCGAAGAAAAAGCAUCGGCUAACUCCGUGCCAGCAGCCGCGGUAAUACGGAGGAUGCGAGCGUUAUCCGGAUUUAUUGGGUUUAAAGGGUGCGUAGGCGGGAUGCCAAGUCAGCGGUAAAAAUGCGGUGCUCAACGCCGUCGAGCCGUUGAAACUGGCGUUCUUGAGUGGGCGAGAAGUAUGCGGAAUGCGUGGUGUAGCGGUGAAAUGCAUAGAUAUCGCGCAGAACUCCGAUUGCGAAGGCAGCAUACCGGCGCCCUACUGACGCUGAGGCACGAAAGCGUGGGUAUCGAACAGGAUUAGAUACCCGUGUAGU